UGUAUUGAGCCUUUGUACAUCACACAUUUUUUGACAUUCCAUAUUUUGACUUAUAUUUCACAUAAAGCAAUAUGGUAACACACGCACGCACGCACGAAUACACAAAAUACAUACUACAUAUGCACAUAAAACUGAACACGUUCCUACAGUAUUAACACUUUCGCACAUGUGAUCACUUAUGAAAUAUUUUCAAUGUGCUCUUUAUCAUUUUAUGCUGAAGUUAUAUUAUGAUUUUUUCAGGACAGUUAAACUUCUAGAAAUGCAGCUGUGCCCUCUUUACAACAAUUGUAGAUGAAGCAAAGUAUGGUAGCAAGUUAUAUAGAUAUACACACAUGCCGAAGAAGAUUGUAAUAUCUGGAGAUAACAUUUCCUACGUCACGAAAUAGACACCGUCACACUGGUCUACGUAACAUUCCUAUAGAUGAUUGAUAUAUUUAAGUGCUUUUAAGAACUGUGUUUGAAUGACGAAUUUCUGUGAAUACGGAUUUUUAGUUUUAAUGAUUAUUAUUAAAACUUUCUGUAAUAAUCAAUUUGUGAUAUGGACUCAUUUUCCUAAAAUAAUAUGUGAAUGUUAACACGAACAAAUGAUAUGAAUAUCUUUAAAAUAUUUUAUGGGUGUAAUACAAGUGGCUCAUAAAAAUCAUUGUUAAGAUAAAUAGAAUCAAACUUCAAGUUGGUAUAGUUUGUUCUACAUUUAAACAACAUGCAAUUCAUAAAGGUUACGGCUUGAAAAUAUCGAAACAUGUACAUGUAUAACUCGAUCUCUAAAGAAAAUAUCGCAGUGCGGAUUUUCUCCACUGUGAUACGUAUUUCAUGACUCUGUAUCGCAUCAUACCGUUAUAUCGCCGUUCCGUUGCAACGCUACAUUAAUUUGUCCCUCUGGAAUAAGGCUUGCAACAAUAUAUGACUGUUGUAGCGAAGACAUGUUUAUUUUGUUUAAUAUAUGUAUACAUAUUGAAUAUAUGUUUAUGAAGUAAUAAAUAUUUAAGAGUGACUCGA